GUGCUCUCCUUGGCACCAUAUAUACCAAAAGUGGAAUGGUACAGAGAUCAGCAUGGCCCCUGUACAAGGAUGACAUGCAAAUUCUUGGAGCAGUCUGUGUUUUU